AGUGGACGCUGGCGGUAGGCCUAACACAUGCAAGUCGAACGGCAGCACAGUAAGAGCUUGCUCUUACGGGUGGCGAGUGGCGGACGGGUGAGGAAUACAUCGGAAUCUACUUUUUCGUGGGGGAUAACGUAGGGAAACUUACGCUAAUACCGCAUACGACCUACGGGUGAAAGCAGGGGAUCUUCGGACCUUGCGCGAUUGAAUGAGCCGAUUUCGGAUUAGCUAGUUGGCGGGGUAAAGGCCCACCAAGGCGACGAUCCGUAGCUGGUCUGAGAGGAUGAUCAGCCACACUGGAACUGAGACACGGUCCAGACUCCUACGGGAGGCAGCAGUGGGGAAUAUUGGACAAUGGGCGCAAGCCUGAUCCAGCCAUACCGCGUGGGUGAAGAAGGCCUUCGGGUUGUAAAGCCCUUUUGUUGGGAAAGAAAAGCAGCAGGUUAAUACCCCGCUGUUCUGACGGUACCCAAAGAAUAAGCACCGGCUAACUUCGUG
rnacentral:rRNA from 1 species